UAGUCCACGCAGUAAACGAUGAGUGCUAGUUGUCGGGAUUUUUCUCGGUGGCGAAGCUAACGCGUUAAGCACUCCGCCUGGGGAGUACGGCCGCAAGGCUAAAACUCAAAGGAAUUGACGGGGACCCGCACAAGCAGUGGAGCAUGUGGUUUAAUUCGAUGAUACGCGAGAAACCUUACCAGCUCUUGAAUCCUGAUUACGAUUUUCAGAGAUGAAUUUUUCAGUUCGGCUGGAUCAGUGACAGGUGUUGCAUGGCUGUCGUCAGCUCGUGUCGUGAGAUGUUAGGUUAAGUCCUUUAACGAGCGCAACCCCUAUUCUUAUUUGCCAUCAGGUUAUGCUGGGAACUAUAAGGAAACUGCCAACGUCAAGUUGGAGGAAGGUGGGGAUGAUGUCAAGUCAUCAUGGCCCUAAUAAAUUGGGCUACUUCACGUGCUACAAUAGUUUUCAAAAGAAGCAAAAAUGUAAGUUUUAGCAAAUCUUCAAAAAAUUGAGUUCGGAUUGUUUUCUGAAAUUCGAAAACU
rnacentral:rRNA from 1 species